rnacentral:rRNA from 1 species
AGAGAUGUGUGAUGACGCAUAUCAAUAAGCGGAGGAAAAGAAACUAACAAGGAUUCCCUUGGUAACGGCGAGUGAAGCGGGAAGAGCUCAAAUUUGAAAUCUUCAAGGUUCUACCUUGACGAAUUGUAGUUUAUAGAAGUGUUUUCUGUUAGUAGAGUGGCAAAAGUUCUUUGGAAUAGGACAUCAUAGAGGGUGAGAAUCCCGUAUUUGGUCAUUCUUUCUAGCUUUGUGAUACACUUUCAACGAGUCGGAUUGUUUGGGAAUGCAGUCCAAAAUGGGUGGUAAAUUUCAUCUAAAGCUAAAUAUUGGCGAGAGACCGAUAGCGAACAGGUACCGUGAGGGAAAGAUGAAAAGAACUUUGAAAAGAGAGUUAAACAGUACGUGAAAUUGUCAAAAGGGAAGCGUUUGACACCAGUGUUGUUUUUCCGAAAAUCAAUUACGAAUGUUUUAUUUUUGAGAAGUUAUGACUUCAUCGGCUUGCUCUCUUCUUUAUCGAAACUUUCUUAAUGCACUUUUCGGUUAACAAGUCAACAUCAAUUUCUUUUGUUGUAAAAGGGUAUGAGGAAGGUGGCUUUCUUUUCGGAGAAAGUGUUUAUAGCCUUGUACCUCUGCAAUCGGAGAGAUUGAGGUCUGCAGCGUAGAUCCUUCGGGGUUAGAUACAUUUGUGCUAAGUUAUAGCUUUUCAUAGACAACUUGUUGACUAUGUUUAGUCUUGUAGCUUACUCGCUUAUGCUAUUUUACCUACGCUUAGGAUGUUGAAGAUGUAGCACAUCAU